rnacentral:lncRNA from 1 species
AAGCUCUUGGAGGAUGGAAGAAUGAAAAUAGAAGUAAUGAGGAAAUGGUGAAGAGAGGGUUCCUAUUUAUAGAAAAUAAGGACCACUCGAUUUGCACUAAGUGGUAAAAUCUGGUGAGGAGAGAGAAAGUCAAUGGAAAAGGUGUGAUGUGAUGACUAACAGAUGUGACUGACAGACAGAUGUCGCGACAUGAUGAUGGCAUGAAAAUCCGAGACACGCCACCCAAACAACGGUGGCACGUUACCCAAGCGAUACGGGCACGCUGUCUAAGCUGGUAGUGGAGCGUGACGCACAAGGGGACGGUGCGCACUACCCCAACUAGUAGCACACUGUAGGCCUAACUCUCACACGCGUAGGCCUACCGUGCUUAAAAGGCGCACAAAGCUAUGUCUACGCAUUACGAGACGUGCAUGCAGACUGUGCCUCGCGCCUUGCGUGGCUGCACUGGUUGUGCACGUCCCAUAACGCGUUAUGGGACCUUUCCGUAGACAUUCUCAUUAGAUUUUCAACUUUUUUCUCUGUUUUUCCUAAAAUUAUUUAAAUGGAU